AGAAAAAACGAAAAUCUCUCUGCCGUCUUCCCUAACGGCAAUGGCACCACUAACGGCGCUUUCCAUUUCCGGUUCCGGAGAUUUUUCAGAGAUUUCUUCUUCUCUCAUUUCUAAUUUCAAAUUCUUUUCUUUUAUAGAUGGAUUUCAUCAAAGCGGAAGAAAAACAGGGGUUUUUCCUUUUGACGAUCGGAGGCCCUCUUUCCCCAAUCUCUCACAAUCCCUCUCGCCCAUUUUCCACCGGGCAGCCGAUAGUCGAUUUCUACUAUUUCGUCUAUUCAUCCAUCGAAGAUCCACCCCACCUCACAGAUUAUUAAAUGAGGAACAUUGGAUGUUGUUUUUGAAUUGCCUGUAUGCAUGUAGACUAAUAGGAGAUUUUCAGGAUUCUUCCUAUGGCGAAUCCGAAUUUUUAAUGUUUUAAGUUGUUUCCACUUAUGCAUUGUUUCCACUUAAUGUGAUAUAAAGAUAGGUAACGUGGUUGGUGAUAGAUUUCUUCUGUUUUUAUUUUUAUGGUUUUAUAUUGAUGAUGAUAGAUUGAUUUCUAUGGCACAUGUACGUUCUAAGUAUGUCUUGUUUAUUUAAGAAUUGUUUGGAAAAGGCAAAAACAAAGAAACGCCAAAAGAAAUUGCAGAAAAGUGAACCAAUGCUAUACCCUACUAAUGAAGAUCUCAGAGAUGCGUCAGAUCCAAUCCAUUAUCAUACAUGUCUCACAAAGGGAUACAAUGGUGUUUGUUUGGAUCCCGUGACUAUGUACUUUCAAUCAGCGUUAUCUCAUUCCGUCAUUCAACCACAUCAAUCCGUGCAGGACCAUCUCCAACCCUCGAUUCACUUUCCUAAUAAUUUAAGUUUCACUCAAUUACUUAAGAAUACUACAAAUUACGCAGCAUUCCAACAUCCUGUGGCAGGUUGCAGUAGUAGUUCAAUAAUUGGAAGAGAAGGACAACAACCAUAAAGGUUUUGUACUAUUAUGUAAUGAUGAUGGUUGUUAGAGAGGAAUAAAAACCAUAAAGCUUUUGUGGGUUUUGCCUCUUGUUGGGCUGGUGAUGAUGAGAUGGGCUUCUGGUUUUUAAAGAGUUGAAUGUGAUUGAGAUUUCAUAUGUGGAAACUUAUGGUGUUGCAAUCAGGCUUUUGAUGAUGGGCCCCACUCUUCUUCAAGGAGCUGUUGCAAGAGGAGAUGUUAUAGUGCAUUUCGAUGUUUAGAUUUUAUUAGCCUUGGCCUAUUUUG